UUUGAGAAAGGGAGGAUGUCCUACAUAAUAUAUAAAACAGACAGAAAUUUAUUGUUUUAUAUAUGCCCUGUAGUUGAUCCCUAUGUUCCCAAGGAAAAGGAGUUUUUAUUGCAAAAAAAUAGGAUUAUAGACCAUUGAUUUUGGAAAUACAUGGAUAUGUAAAUGGAAACAAUGUCGGCUUUCAAGGACUGCACAGUAAGCAAAUAUACACUCAGAGGUUUUAUACACUCAGAGGUAUAGAAGAAAUAUAUUGGCCUCCAGAAAAAGGGAAAAGCUUAGAAAUCGAAAUACAUGUCACAUGCAUUGUCUCGAGUAGUAGAUUUACUUUUAAGAAAAAUCUCCCUCCUCCUUGGUCCCUAGAGAUUUGGGUGCUAAGAAAAAUCUGUUCUCCAAUUCAGGGUUGUAAGAAACCCUCUGCAGCAAAAGCAAUGUUGACUUCUAAUGAAGCAGAGAGACAUCUAGCUUUGAAAUAGAGGUUGCCAAAUGGUAUUCCCAGUGACACAUGGGAGACUGGAGGAAAGGGUCCCCACAGAAAUUCAUCAGUGUGGGGAGAGCUGGUUAGUAGGUAGGCCAUAGAAUUUUCCAGUGACAUCACCAGUAGGCCGUUCACUGGACACUCUAUUGUAUCUAAGAGAUCCCUAGAAUCUUCUGUGAUGUCACCAGUGUUGUGGUGACACCAACUGCCUUUGGGAUAUUACUUCAGUUCCCUUUGCGUUCACAAGCAGGCAUGUUUCGCCAGCUGCUCAGGCUAUUUCGGAAGGAAAGUGUUGAUCAAGGAGAGACCGCACCAGGUCAGAGGGAAGCUGACCCCCUCUCUAGUGAAACAGGAAGGAGGAAAUCAUUCUGGGGAAGGCUUGGUGAGUCGUGGGCAGAGUUGGGGAACAUCCUCAAGGAGGUAGGUUUGAGAUGUGCCUUCUAAGACUAGGCCUUACAAGCAGGAGCCUUGGGAUUUUUCAAAGGCAAAACAAGAGUCAGGAGUUCCUGAUCUUUAAUUUGAGAGAAAGCCAUAAAGUUGUAAGACUUCAGUGUCUUUUCUUGAAGCUUUUUAACUGUGAGUGUCAACGAAUAGCAGGAGGAGGCACUGUGAGAUUAACAAUGUGACCAUCCAUGGUUGGGAGUUGAAGCACUUCAUCCUCUAGAUUACUGUAGGUUACAUAAGUGUCUGAUGGCGAGAACAAGGAAGGAUGCACCCCUAGUCAUGAAUUGAGUUCUCAGACACUUUGGGCUGGACCACACUUGGUUAGAGCUUGAUGGUGCUAAACAUUAUGAAGUCAUUAUGAACUCCAGGAUUAUCUGCACCACAUCUGAUAUAACAAUGUCACAGAUGUUUAUGUCUCAGUCAUAUUAUAACUUUCAGUGCCGCGGGUUGUUUAAUAGUGAGUGUGGCACGUGUAUGGCAUUAGAGGUUGGGAACAGGGACAAAGCUUAAGAAUCAACCUUUAAGAAAGCUUUUCUGCUCUUUCAGGGCUUCACCCAGUCUCUACCAUUUCCCCUUCCUCAACCUCCUUUUCGGAUUCAGAAUGAUCUAUUCUGCCCAUUGGUUCAAAUAUGCAAAUUCACUUGGGUUUAUCUGUCUACAGGUUUUGGUAGGAAGGCAUCAUCCCAAAAUGUCAUUAGUAAGCAAGAGGAGUGUCUAAAGGAACUGGAGGAACUCAAAUUUGAAAUCCAGAAGUGUCAAUUCGAGAGGGAUGAACUUUAUCAAAUCCUGGAUCUUUAUAUCUAUGAUGAGUGGGACCACAGGCUGCAUGUCGAAUUGCCAGUCCUUCAAUCUGAACAUGAGAUGAGAAUGAUGGCUAUGCAAAUGAUGACCAACUCAAUAAGUGAUGCCAUGGAGAGGUACAAGGAGCUCAUACAAUUGAACAGUUCCUACCGGUGAGUCGCUGACAGAGAUGAGAACCCAGCACUAGGCUGGGAAUGCUUCUGUCCUGUAUGACUUUGAACAAAAGUCAGGGCUCUGGUUCUGUAGUGUCUGACUCUUAACAAGAACCCUGCCUCCUGGCAAGGGUCUUAGAUUUGUAGCUCUUGGACUCAGUUGUCGUACAUGUGAGGGGUGUAGAAGACCCUCCAAUUGUUAUUUUCCCAGUUAAAGUUCCUCUAGAUAGAAAAGGUUUGCACCAUGAUGGGAAUCAAAUCUGAAUCUCUAGGACUCUGACAGGAGAUUCAAAGAUCUGUGAUCCAUGAGAAACACAUGGAAAGAGUCUAUAGCUAUUUGGUCUUCAACUACCCCUCAGAGGGGCUUUCCCCACAACGUGAAGAUGGUUUCACCAUACCAUGGACAUACGAGCUCCCUUAUGGACCAUCUCUUCUUCCUUGAUUUAUAUAAACCGUCUUACUGUCAGGAUUUUCAGAAGUACUUUGAUUCAUGUGGAAUGUGGAUUCUGGAUUUGACCUCCUCUAAUUGGUGCUAACCUGCAUAGUGUGGCUCUAUUCUGGGGAUUUCUGAGGAUGAGGACCCUUGAAGGGAUGAUUGGACUUGCAGGAGUGACAGGCAAAUAGAAGCUGGCUGGGUUUUACCAUUUUUUGUUUGUGGUUCAGCAUCAGGCACUCCCAGCUCCUGCGUGAACAAGCUCAAUUGAAGAACAAUAUACAGAUUUUGCUGAAUGAGAAGAGAGAACUGCUGGUGGAGCAGACUGAACUGCCAGCAUCCUCUGUGGAGACAAAGAGGCUCUGUGAAUAGGCCGGAAUGAACAUCUGUGCCCCCAGUGCCACGCAACAGCAGGUAGGGUUAGGCUUCAGGUCAGGUUGUCCUCAGGUCUUACCAUAAACAUAGACAAACCAAUGUAACUGUCUAUUGACUGAUCAAUGUCCUGACCUAGGUCUCAUCCAAGUGUACAUUCAUGUGAUUGUUUACAAGGCUUUCUGUGGAGAUAGCCCCUUUUCAAGAAACUGCAUGUUUCGAAAGCAAAUGCUCCUGCUCUUCGAGAAUCUGCACUUCAUUGAGGGAGAUACGUUGAUCACACAGCAGAGCACUACAUGCCAUUAUGUAUGGAGGGUGCUAUGUGGGAGCCCCUCUUUAGACCAGAGCAGGGCUUUGAGGGAUGAAGCAAAAGCCCAGAGCCCAUUUUCUUUACAGGGAUGGUGUGAGACUCAGGAAGUAAGUAGUUUUCAAGGAGGAGAGCCUGGUGGAAAUGCCAAAGAAAUGGUUCUCAUUGUCAUUUGUGGUGGCUUUUGUUUUUCCUCCCCUCAUGUCCCUGUAUAUGAAGAUGGUGACUUCAUGCUUCACAGAUCUUGGGUAACUACAGAGCCUGUGUAUCAGCAUGUCAGUCCUGUCUUAUUUGAGUGCUCCUGGAGACUUAGUCCUUUAAGCCUAGGUCUCUCAACAAACAUGAAGCUUCCUGUUUUGUGCUGGCCAGCAGUCUUUGCAUCAUUCGUCCAGUUCCAAGAUGAGCCCCCUCUCUUAUUUGUCUCAACACAUACUUAAACCAUUCAGCUAUUUUAAAAAUAAGGAUUAGAUUUCUUCACUUUACCUGAACAGAGUUAUCCCCCGGGAAGAUUCUGGAUUGUAUUAUUGGCUUCACCAUGAUAUUGCAUGGAAUCCUAGAGUGCAACCCUCUGCUGACAUUGCUUUGCUGACUAUAUCAUGGGCACUGCAUUCUUUCAGGAUAGAUACCCUCUCAAUAUUGUACACAGUGCUGCAUUUCAGAAAAUUCACUGUAUGUUAUUUAUUUAGCCUUUUUCUGACUGACAUUGAGGUUGUUUUAGUAUCACAGGAACUCCAAUGUGAUGAAAUGUUCCUGGGAACUGACCAUGAGUCACUGUCUUCUCUGAUGCUUCCAAAGUCUUCUAUGAAGGAAACAGGGUAGUUUUAGUGAGGGGCCUAUGAUGAGUCAGCAUAGAGCUUGAUGGAGUCUAUUCCUAGAAAUCUCUCUUGGGGAUUUGAUGAUGUGUUGUUUAGGCUAUCUGUUCAGAACAUGUAACUUACUUGUCGGACCAGCAAGUAUCUGCAUAGAAAGGUUUCCUGAAGUGGAAAUGAGUACAGGCCAGGGCAGCACAUCUUGCUUGUGUCUAAGAGACUUGUACACAGCAUUGUUCCCACUAAUUCCUCACUCAACAGGAAAUGUGCUGCAUAAGAGCAAAGUUAUCAUUUGUGCAUGCAAGUGUGUAUCUGUGUGUCUGUGUUUGUGUGUGUGGUGUGUGUGUGUGUGUGUGUGUGGUGUGUGUGUGGUGUGUGUGUGUGUGUGUGUGUGUGUGGUGUGUGUGUGGGUAUAUGUGUGUGUGUGUUUUUGCAGUAGUGAACAUAUGUUUCCCUCUAUUUCCAAGUUUCAUGAGAAAAGUACUGUAAGCAUACACUUUACAUCCAUGAAACAUGAAAUAGAGCUGCCCAGUCAUUUGGCAUCUCCAUCGAGCUCUGUACAGCAAAAGGACACUUAAAUUACUAAUUUAUUGUUUCCAAAAAUUUCAGAAUGAAUUAUCUUGUGAAGUCUGGGGGAGGAGUGGAAAUAUGUUCAAGUGAGUCAUAUUUCACAGGGGUAACAAAUGAUACAGGCCUAGAGCUUGCAGGUCCCUUUUUGUUAUGGUGUAGAAGCAGGACAAUACAAUCCUUUAGAAAUGCAACCCCCAAAAAGAGGACACAAAAACACCUGUAAAGUUAGAUUUUCAAGUGAUUAGGGGCAAAACUACUGAUCUGCAUUGAAAUCCUUUGGAGCACAUCAAAGGAAUGGAGUACUGGGAGGUAAGGGCAAGGCUUCUCUAGAAAAAUUCAUGAGUUUACUCUGCUUCUCUGUUCUUUGUGAAUUGUGAAAGCCCACUGGAAGGUUAUGUCACUCACUGUGUCUUCUCCAAGGUUGCUUUCCACAUUGCCUGCUACCAUUUCUUUCGAGCUACCUUGGCACACUACAACUUCCCCUGGGAGUUUGGCUUGGAUUUUAUUCAUUGAGAAUUUGAGUUGCUUGGAAUUGUAUCGUCAUCCAGAAAAAGUCCCAUAGCUAUGCUGUGGUGCAAGAACAGGGCAGUUUCAGGAACCCCUUUAGGUGCACAGAUAAUCCAAAGCGCUCCUCUAUGUUAUCUGUGUAGCAUUCUGCAAGUGCUUUCGAUCAACAUCAUUUUCUCUCAGUUAAUUUCAGCCUCAAUGGGUUAGGAGAAAUGAUGAGCUUGAAAUGGGUCUGACAGUGUAAGAACAGUUAGCCCUAUGAGAAGCCAUGUUCAGAAAGUGGAACAGAAGUUUUAGUUAACCCAGUGAUUCCACAACAAGGAGUAGGUAUUGCCAUUGCAACUAGGGAGCAUCAAUGUUGUAGUGGUCCCAGAGUAGCCUUGAAGGAGAAUCUAUCCAGACGUCCAUCAGCCAAGGAGUAAAAGUGUACCAUACGAUGGAGCCCUUCCAUAGAUUCUGAUUCAGUGUGAGAUAAUCCAUGCAAGAUUUUACUUACUUAUUCAAAUUAUCUGUGGAACAAUCACAUUACUGGGAGAAAAUUUGUUGAUUUGGAUCCUGGUUAUGGAGAUUUCCUGUGAUUCUAGCUUUGGGCAUGAAGUCACUCAGGCUAUGGUAAAGACAGCUCCGAUUAGAAGAAGUUGCACACUUUGGGGAAAGUCUGAAAGAGUGAACAAGAACAAGAGUCUAGUCCACCACCAAUAUAUGAUCCUUUGCUGAGCAACAAGACAGCUCUACACAGCCUUUGGGACUUGCUAAGCCAGAUUGUUAAUGGAGAAAGAACCCUGAGUCUAUGACGGUUUAUGGGAGGACAGCAUAUCACUGACUGAGCUGUCUAUAGGUCUGGCCACUAUGUACAUAUCCCACUCAACAUUUGUUUUUAUGCCUCCAGCGAAUCCUGGGGAAUCAUUACAUUAAGUAUUAAUGUUCAGGUAGGAACACAGGCUGGAAGAAGCCAUUUGAAUAUCCUUCCCUAUAUAAAUACCCUUUUUGGGUGGAUGACCACCCCACCUGGAUUUCAGCCUCAGGCAGUUAAGGAGCUACUCAGAGUAUUGUUCUGGUACAGUUCAUGUGAAUUUUGCCCAUGAAACAUUAUAUAUGAUCCUCUGGAUUUCUUGCUAUGUUCUACUCCUUUCUUCCUGUGAUCUCUCCGGAAAGAUCUGAGGACAUCUUCUCUUCUGUCCUCUCAAAAAUUGCCUUACACUAGCCAUAGACUUACAGGGGUGCUGUUCUGUUUCUACAUCACAAUCACCUUUAAUGUCCAUGUGUACGCUGGGAAGAUUUGCAUGGAGCACAUUCGCAGUGAUUACAGGAUCUGUGCACUUCCCAUGGAUUUGAAGUGAGAUGGCUUCUCUCUGUAUUUGCAGAUUCAGUGGUUACAAAUGGAAACUAGACGGGUUCCUUCAGUACUGACAUAAUCAGAAAUUUCACCUCAAUUCUGGGCAUGUUCUCCAGAAGGAAUCCACAUGGUAUUCUAGGUUGCUCAUACCUCUCUUGAACUCAGAUUCAGACAUAGCUACAAUGUUAUUAUUCAAUGUCAUAUACCUGGACCAGUGGGAAAAAAUGCUCAUUUUUCUCUUAAUCCCAGUACAGUGCAUAGUCCACAGUUCAAAUUCUAGCAGUUUGAAAGAAGAGAUAUAAAUCCAAGUGCAGGUACUCUAUGACACUUGGGGAUGCAGGGACUGACCUCAGCUGACAGGUCAUGCUGGAUUGUCCAACUGAAUAGAGCUGAUGUAAGAGGGAGAGCUGAAUUGACAACCACUCACUAAACCUUUUUUCCCUUGCUCUGCUAGGUCUGAAAUUCUCCAGCAGAAUCUCGAACAUGACACAGUCCAGGACAAGAUCUCCCUUGGAGAGAAGUGCUACAGGAGGAGUACUACGUGUGCACAGCAAAUACACCACUAUUGCGUCUCACCUGUAAUGUCCAUAGCAAUUGUGGGCUGCAUUUUCCUCCUUUAGUUUGAUUUCUUUGGAUUGAAUACGCUGUAUUUUCACCUUGCCUCUCUCCAGCAAGUGUACACUUUUUGAGGGACUCAGAGAAGUGCUGAUGCACAUCAAUCAAGAGCUGCUGGUCAUCCAGAAAGACUGUGCACGUGUAAAUUUGUACUUGUCCUGAUGGGUCAUCCAGAAGAGUUUCGUGGAGAUCAGUUCACAAAAUUGGAAAGACUUUGUGACAAAGUGUGUAAUAUCAUUUAUACUCAGUGUUGGAUGGCUUUUACCUUAAUACCUCCACUCCAACAAAACAGACCUACUUCCACUCCUCUUGAAAAGAUUAUUACCAUCACUAACUGCUUGUCUACUAUGUCUCCAAGGCAAGCCACAGGCUAUAAGUCUAUUCUGCAAAAGGAGCAGCAAAAAAUGCUUAGUGCAAUUCCUCUAUUUAAAGUAUGGUUAAUUUUUAAUUGUUUUGGUUAUUUGGUUUUCCUUCUAUUCAUUUGAAGAUUUGUAAUUUAUCUGUUGUUGUUGUUUUGUUCAUUUGCUUUUCUAUUUUGAUAAGGAUAUAGACUGUAUAUAUUGACUACCUGCAUCUGGUUACUAUCAAGUAAAUUGGAUGUAUUCUGGUCAAUAAAGGAGUAAUCUCAAA